rnacentral:rRNA from 1 species
AGCGAACGCUGGCGGCAGGCUUAACACAUGCAAGUCGAGCAGGCACCUUCGGGUGUCCGCGGCAGACGGGUGAGUAACACGUGGGAACGUACCCUUCGGUUCGGAAUAACGCUGGGAAACUAGCGCUAAUACCGGAUACGCCCUUAUGGGGAAAGGUUUACUGCCGAAGGAUCGGCCCGCGUCUGAUUAGCUAGUUGGUGGGGUAACGGCCUACCAAGGCGACGAUCAGUAGCUGGUCUGAGAGGAUGAUCAGCCACACUGGGACUGAGACACGGCCCAGACUCCUACGGGAGGCAGCAGUGGGGAAUAUUGGACAAUGGGCGCAAGCCUGAUCCAGCCAUGCCGCGUGAGUGAUGAAGGCCUUAGGGUGGUAAAGCUCUUUUGUCCGGGACGAUAAUGACGGUACCGGAAGAAUAAGCCCCGGCUAACUGCGU